rnacentral:rRNA from 1 species
UGCUAGAAGAUGACGAGUGGCGGACGGGUGAGUAAUGCUUGGGAACUUGCCUUUGCGAGGGGGAUAACAGUUGGAAACGACUGCUAAUACCGCAUAAUGUCUUCGGACCAAACGGGGCUUCGGCUCCGGCGCAAAGAGAGGCCCAAGUGAGAUUAGCUAGUUGGUAAGGUAACGGCUUACCAAGGCGACGAUCUCUAGCUGUUCUGAGAGGAAGAUCAGCCACACUGGGACUGAGACACGGCCCAGACUCCUACGGGAGGCAGCAGUGGGGAAUAUUGCACAAUGGGGGAAACCCUGAUGCAGCCAUGCCGCGUGUGUGAAGAAGGCCUUCGGGUUGUAAAGCACUUUCAGUUGUGAGGAAAAGUUAGUAGUUAAUACCUGCUAGCCGUGACGUUAACAACAGAAGAAGCACCGGCUAACUCCGUGCCAGCAGCCGCGGUAAUACGGAGGGUGCGAGCGUUAAUCGGAAUUACUGGGCGUAAAGCGCACGCAGGCGGUUUGUUAAGCUAGAUGUGAAAGCCCCGGGCUCAACCUGGGAUGGUCAUUUAGAACUGGCAGACUAGAGUCUUGGAGAGGGGAGUGGAAUUCCA